AGAAGCAAAGCCAGGAGAAAAGGGAUUAAAGCCAUCCAUGAGAAGAGUGGACAGGCUCCCAAGGAUCUCCCAUGGGACAUGCAUGGUUGCGUGUUUACCCUUUCUAUUACUUCAUGAUACCCUUAAGUUCUCCUGUGAGGUGAAUCAGGGAGCCUAAAAAGUAUCCUCAAGAGAGGACCCAAAUUCACAAUGAUACAAAGUUGGUUUGUCACCCUAUUCAAACGCAUGUCUACGGUGACAAGACAAGAAAACUCAAGGAGAAAUGCAGCUUAAUAUCACUGUCAUUGCUGGGUAAUCUACCUGUAACAUGCACUGAGACACAACACCCUCUGGAAUCUCCGGGAAACGUUGUCGGAGGUCAUGGAGAAC